rnacentral:rRNA from 1 species
AGAGUUUGAUCAUGGCUCAGGACGAACGCUGGCGGCGUGCUUAACACAUGCAAGUCGAGCGGAAAGGCUCCUUCGGGGGUACUCGAGCGGCGAACGGGUGAGUAACACGUGAGUAAUCUGCCCUUGGCUUUGGGAUAACUACCGGAAACGGUGGCUAAUACCGGAUACGACCACUCCUUGCAUGAGGUGGUGGUGGAAAGUUUUUCGGCCAGGGAUGUGCUCGCGGCCUAUCAGCUUGUUGGUGGGGUAAUGGCCUACCAAGGCUUCGACGGGUAGCCGGCCUGAGAGGGUGACCGGCCACACUGGGACUGAGACACGGCCCAGACUCCUACGGGAGGCAGCAGUGGGGAAUAUUGGACAAUGGGCGGAAGCCUGAUCCAGCAACGCCGCGUGAGGGAUGACGGCCUUCGGGUUGUAAACCUCUUUCAGUACCGACGAAGCGCCGAUGAUGGUGGUGACGGUAGGUACAGAAGAAGCACCGGCCAACUACGUG